rnacentral:rRNA from 1 species
GUAGGGUGCGAGCGUUAUCCGGGAAUCAUUGGGGCGUAAAGAGCUCGUAGGCGGUUCAGCAAGUCGGCUGUGAAAUUCCGAGGGCUCAACCUCGGAACUGCAGUCGAUACUGCUGUGACUCGAGUCCGGUAGAGGAGAAUGGAAUUCAGGGUGUAGCGGUGAAAUGCGCAGAUAUCCUGAGGAACACCAGUAGCGAAGGCGGUUCUCUGGGCCGGUACUGACGCUGAGGAGCGAAAGCGUGGGUAGCAAACAGGAUUAGAUACCCUGGUAGUCCACGCCGUAAACGUUGGACACUAGGUGUGGCGUUCCGACCAACGGGUGCCGUGCCGAAGCUAACGCAUUAAGUGUCCCGCCUGGGGAGUACGGCCGCAAAGGCUA